CACACACACACACACACACACUCUCUCUCUCUCUUUCUCUCUCACUCUCACCCUCUCUCUCACUCACUCUCUCUCUCUCUCUCUCUCUCUCUCUCUCUCUCUCUCUCUCUCUCGCUCUCACCGACUUUGGGAAAGCAGGCAAUCUGUCCGGCGUUUGUGCUGGAGGAGAAACCUUGCAAUUCAUGACCUCAUUUCUUUUAGAGGGACUGAUGGUCAUCUGGGGCUCAUUACUGCAUUACUGAGUGUUUUUGUUGUGGAGGAGGGGCAGAGAGUCACCGUAACUGUGAGAAGGACCUGACGAGGCACCGGAUUAAUGCCGUGACCCGACGUCUGGUCACUCUGCUGUCCCGGAAGCAGACUCUCCAUGCCAUGCUCUUCAUCUCCACCACACAUUCUGUUCUAGCCCUGAAUCAGAUCCCGACAUGAAGCGCAGGGUUCCAGAAAAGGUUCCUGAUGGAGAUCACCUCCUAGAAAUAUUCCUCAUUGGGUUCCUGGGAUCUAAGCUUUAUGGGCUACUAAAGUUUUCAAAAAAUAGAGUUCCUGGACUGCUCAUCUCUCCUUGGUACCUGAAAAGGUUCCUGCAAUGAAUAAGCACUGAUUAGUGAAACGUGGUGAGCGGAGAUGGUACGAAGAGCCUUUAUUAGUGAGUAUGUUCUUUAUCUGAGUGCUGCGUGACCUUUGGGCGUUUCCUCUGGAGAGGGCACGGGGUGGUGGCACGACCAGGAAGAGCUCAAUUGGUUAAUAGCCUCACCGCUGAUCCUCAUCGCUCUGUAAUGGAGGAAAAGGCGGUCUGAGUGGAGGGAAACGUUAGCAGAUGUGAGACCAGCCAGGUACCGCCUGGAAGAUUCGAGACACGGGUUAUGCAAGAAAAUGGCAUAAAUAUGGAGCUUUUGGCACGCAGUCAGGCCGAGCGAGGAGGAAAGAAAA